rnacentral:rRNA from 1 species
ANGUUUCGUAGGUGACCUGCGGAAGGAUCAUUACAAGUGAGGCUACCGAACGUUGGAAACAGCGGUUAGGAGCUUACACCCACCCGUGUUUACAUACUAUUGUUGCUUUGGCGGGCCGUGGCCUCCACUGCGGGCUCUGCUCGUGUGUGCCCGCCAGAGAACCAAACUCUGAAUGUUAGUGAUGUCUGAGUACUAUCUAAUAGUUAAAACUUUCAACAACGGAUCUCUUGGUUCUGGCAUCGAUGAAGAACGCAGCGAAAUGCGAUAAGUAAUGUGAAUUGCAGAAUUCAGUGAAUCAUCGAAUCUUUGAACGCACAUUGCGCCCUGUGGUAUUCCGCAGGGCAUGCCUGUUCGAGCGUCAUUUAACCACUCACGCCUAGCGUGGUAUUGGGGCACGCGGUCUCCGCGGCCCUCAAAAUUAGUGGCGGCGCCGGUGGGCUCUAAGCGUAGUACAUACUCCCGCUAUAGAGUUCCCCCCGGUGGCUCGCCAGAACCCCCAAUUUUUUACAGGUUGACCUCGGAUCAGGUAGGGAUACCCGCUGAACUUAAGCAUAUCAAUAAGCGGAGGAAAAGAAACCAACAGGGAUUACCUCAGUAACGGCGAGUGAAGCGGUAACAGCUCAAAUUUGAAAGCUGCCAACAGGCCGCGUUGUAAUUUGUAGAAGCUGCUUUGGGUGUCGGCCCGGUCUAAGUUCCUUGGAACAGGACGUCAUAGAGGGUGAGAAUCCCGUAUGUGAUCGGUGCCGUUGCCCGUGUAAAGCGCUUUCGACGAGUCGAGUUGUUUGGGAAUGCAGCUCAAAAUGGGUGGUAAAUUUCAUCUAAAGCUAAAUAUUGGCCAGAGACCGAUAGCGCACAAGUAGAGUGAUCGAAAGAUGAAAAGCACUUUGGAAAGAGAGUUAAACAGUACGUGAAAUUGUUGAAAGGGAAGCGCUUGCAACCA